CUGACAAUUUCAGGAGAGUAUGAUGUUAGGCUUGUUUGGCAAAACAGUGGUUGUUUUGACAAAAAUAGCCAAAUUCACAAUAAACAUCAUCACCGAAGGCGUAAAAACCCUAUAAUCGCUCAGGUAAAUGGACUGAAAUUGCAUU
rnacentral:ncRNA from 2 species